GACGAACGCUGGCGGCGUGCCUAAUACAUGCAAGUAGAACGCACAGUUUAUACCGUAGCUUGCUACACCAUAGACUGUGAGUUGCGAACGGGUGAGUAACGCGUAGGUAACCUGCCUGGUAGCGGGGGGUAACUAUUGGAAACGAUAGCUAAUACCGCAUAAUAUUGAUUAUUGCAUGAUAAUUGAUUGAAAGAUGCUAUUGCAUCACUACCAGAUGGACCUGCGUUGUAUUAGCUAGUAGGUGAGGUAACGGCUCACCUAGGCGACGAUACAUAGCCGACCUGAGAGGGUGAUCGGCCACACUGGGACUGAGACACGGCCCAGACUCCUACGGGAGGCAGCAGUAGGGAAUCUUCGGCAAUGGACGAAAGUCUGACCGAGCAACGCCGCGUGAGUGAAGAAGGGUUUCGGAUCGUAAAGCUCUGUUGUAAGAGAAGAACGGGUGUGAGAGUGGAAAGUUCACACUGUGACGGUAUCUUACCAGAAAGGGACGGCUAACUACGUG
rnacentral:rRNA from 1 species